rnacentral:lncRNA from 1 species
UUGCAUAAUGAGGCAAAUUUUAUUGGUCAACUUGCCUCCCAAAAAUGAUCUGCCAGGAAAUCACGCAGCGCCGGGGUGUGACUUGUAAUUGCUGCUUCAAAUUUAACAAAUGACCUGCCAAGUUCAUUGUUUCUUUAACCAAAUACUGAGAAAAGCGAAGCAACAUCUGUCACCCAAAGCCCUUGAGCAAGUUAUCCACACCUUUAUCAUCAGAGCUCCUCAGAAAAAGAAGACAGAGAGAAAAGUGCAAAGUUUGCUCGAAUUAAGAUGAUCGAUAAUAUAAUCCAGAAAUGGUGAAUGAACGGGACCUGAGCUGACUGAGGAGUCGUCUGAGCUAAAGAGGAAGAUUGAUCACGAUAAUGAACUAUGAAGCAAUGGUUAAAUAAAUUGAACACAUAAAAGUAAGUGUAAACUCAGCAUAUCGUUUAUGACAUAAGGCUCUCAGUCUUACACAACACCCAUUAAACUGGAUUGCGAUGUAAAAAUGAUAUUGGCAUAGUUGUCACCGUCUUUUAUCCACUGUGUUGACCCAUCUGUUUGGUGACCAGCAUGUGGUACACUCCCUUCUUGGCGAUCAGCUGCUGGUGCGUCCCCUUUUCCACCACCACUCCUCCCUGGAACACAGCGAUGCAGUCGGCGUUUUGGAUGGUGGACAGACGGUGGGCUACGACGAUGCACGUCCUGCCCUUCCUGGCCUGGUCCAACGCCUCCUGCACCACCUGGACACAAGAGUGUCGAGCGCAGACGUGGCCUCGUCCAGGAGCAACAGUUUGGGGUUGCGGAUGAUGGCUCGGGCUAUGGCGACACGCUGCUUCUGGCCCCCUGACAGCUGUGUUCCCUUAUCACCAGCCUGAGUGUCGUAUCUCUGCUCAGAGACAGUAUGUAUAUGGUGUAAAUGGUCAUGGGCAGCUCCAUGGGAAUCGAUCAAAUAUGGAAUCAACCAUUUCCCCUGAUUCACAGCCGCUACCUGAGGCAGCCCUUCGAUGAAGCUGUGGAUGUUGGCUGCUUUAGCAGCAGCUACUAUCUCAUUUUUAUUUUAAAAUAAAUACAAUGAAGCUGUUUCAGAAAAUGUUGAAAAUCUAAAUUCUUGAAUGACAUAAAUUAAGCUGUGCUGUGUGAAGCAAUUAUGGUAUUUGGUGCC